CCCUACGGGGCGCAGCAGUAGGGAAUCUCCCACAAUGGGCGAAAGCCUGAUGGAGCAACGCCGCGUGGGUGAAGAAGGUCUUCGGAUCGUAAAACCCUGUUGUUAGAGAAGAAAGAGCGUGAGAGUAACUGUUCACGUUUCGACGGUAUCUAACCAGAAAGCCACGGCUAACUACGUGCCAGCAGCCGCGGUAAUACGUAGGUGGCAAGCGUUAUCCGGAUUUAUUGGGCGUAAAGGGAACGCAGGCGGUCUUUUAAGUCUGAUGUGAAAGCCUUCGGCUUAACCGGAGUAGUGCAUUGGAAACU
rnacentral:rRNA from 1 species